rnacentral:lncRNA from 1 species
CUUCCAUUUAAUUCACGUACAAUUCAAUAUCAUUAAGUUCAAUACUAAUACAUAUUCACCAUUUAACUCAACGUUUAUCGAUUUUACCAUUCAUUAACACAUUUAUAAAAUUCUUAGUAGUGCAAAGCAAACAUCACUUAAGCUUAAAUAACAACAUCGAAUCAACUCAUCAUCCUCAUUCGUCAUUUUACUCUUCAAGUGUGAAUUUAGUAUUUCAUUUUCUUUCCACAUCCAUUUCCUACGAAUAUCACACAAAACAAUAACAUAUCAAAUAUAAUUCACAAUUUAUAUUAGCAACAUGAGUUACUCCAUAUACCAUUCGUGGCCUUACUUCAUACCAAAUCAUAUACCAAAUAUACCAUACAUACAUGCUAUGAAACUUUAUUUUCUCACAUGAACUUUAUCCAUAACUAAUAAUGCACAACUAUAAACAUCAUUUCUUUUCAAUCGUUUGUCGAUUAUAAUCGAGCAUAUGGCCAAUUAUACACAAAUCAUUCAUAUGUUCUUCCAAUUUUCCUCCUCCUCCUCCUCUCCAUUCCACAUCCUCAAUGUGUAUAACACACUUAAACAACAAUAACUAUAAUUUCACUAUUCACUCACAUGUAUAUUCAAAGCUGUUUAUUCGAGUCAGAGUUACUAAAUUAUUUUUAUCCAGAGCUACAGAGCUCCAAAUUAAGAUCCAUUAAUUUUCCCUAAAACUAGACUCACGUAUCUUAUUGCCAUACAAUUUUCAGAAUUUUUGAUUUAGCCAAAUAGUACAGUUUAUUCUUUAAAGUUUCCCCUGUUUCACUGCUUGACAGCCCUGAUCCCUCUUCACUAAAAAUUAAUUAUCUCUUUUUACAGAUUUCAAAUGAUGUUCUCGUUUGUUUUUCUUAAAAAUAGACUCAUUGAGAAAUUCAAGAAUGUAAAUUGCAAAUCAUAAUUAUUUUUGUACAAUUUUUAGUGAUUUUCCAAAGUCAGAACAGGGGAUUUCGAAAUCAUUCUGACCCUAUCUCACUAAAAUUCAAAUAUUUUAAAAUAUGUAACUCUUUUGCUUUCACUGUAUGUGAAAAUAGACUCAUUAAGCUUCAAUUUCAUAUAUUAUUCAACCUCUAAUUCAAUUUCCACUAUUUUUGGUGAUUUUUCAAAGUUGCACAACUACUAUUGUUCAAAACUAUUUUAUUUCUAAAUUUACUCUUUUGUAGUUUUAGUACUUCAUACCAUCUUACUCAUGGGUCGAUUAAGCAUCAAACCCAAUAUUCCUCACAUAAUCUUGUCCAUUUCAAACGUACUUUCACUUUUCCAAUUUCCUUGUUGAACACUAGGAAUAUUAUCCGUUACUCGGUGGAUUCAGCCCUUAGCAACCACCAGUGAUUCGGGGAAUCAACACUUAGCAACUCCUUUCACAUUCAAAGAUACGGUGGAAUCAACACUUAGCAACCUCUUUCACAUUUAAGAUACAGUGGAAUCAGCACUUAACAACCACCAAUGAUUCAGGGAAUCAACACUUAGCAACCCCUUUCACAUUCAAGUUAUGGUGGAAUCGGCACUUAGCAACCACCAAUGAUUCGGGGAAUCAGCACUUAGCAACUCCUUUCACAUUUAAGAUACGGUGGAAUCAACACUUAGCAACCACCAAUGAUUCGGGGAAUCAGCACUUAGCAACCCCCUUAUAUUCAAUGUACUCUGGCUUAUCCCGAGUGUUCAACCGGAAACCUUACUUUUCAACAUUUUACCACCUUUCUCAAACUUAACCACAUUUUUAUAAUCUACAUCAAAUAUUUAUUUGAUAUUCAAUCAUAUCUCAACAAUAUAUUGAAUAACAAUAAAACAAUGCAUUAAUUCACAUGCAUACUUACUUUGGUGCAACAAUAUAGAAAUUUAGCAAUUUAGUCAUUAAUCUUUUCUUUUCUCUGAUCAAUGUCAAUUCCACUUCUUUCUUGAUCUAUAAUAACACAUUUGACUUAUUUAACAAUUACAUUCAUCAAAAUAGUCCUUGACUCAAACUUUUGCAAAAUUAUAAUUUUGCCCCUAAACUUUUGCAUAUUUACUACACUUUUGCCCCAAAGCUCGAAAAUUAAACUUCAUCACUUAUUCUUAUGUUUUAUGACAUACUGAACCUUUUUUUCUUCUAUGGAAAUGUCAAAUUCUCACUCUAACACUUACUUAUGAACAUUAGGUAUUUUUACCGAUUAUGUCGUUUUACUCGUUUUCACUUAAAAUCGCUUAGCAAAAGUUGUUUAACAUAAUUUCUAGCUUCAUAUUAUUGCAUAAAAUAUCAAAAUAAACAUAUUUCACCUAUGGAUAUUUUUCCAAAUAUAAACCCUAAGUUAAAUUAUUGCUAGAAAUAGCUAAAUCAAGUUAUCGGGGCUUCAAAAACGUAAAGAACAUUAAAAACGGGGCUUAGAAUCACUUACCAUGGAGCUUGGAAGCUUGAAAACCCUAACUAUGGCUUCUCCUCUUGUAAAAUUCGG